AUUGAACGCUGGCGGCAGGCUUAACACAUGCAAGUCGAGCGGAGAUGAGGUGCUUGCACCUUAUCUUAGCGGCGGACGGGUGAGUAAUGCUUAGGAAUCUGCCUAUUAGUGGGGGACAACAUUCCGAAAGGAAUGCUAAUACCGCAUACGCCCUACGGGGGAAAGCAGGGGAUCUUCGGACCUUGCGCUAAUAGAUGAGCCUAAGUCGGAUUAGCUAGUUGGUGGGGUAAAGGCCUACCAAGGCGACGAUCUGUAGCGGGUCUGAGAGGAUGGUCCGCCACACUGGGACUGAGACACGGACCAGACUCCUACGGGAGGCAGCAGUGGGGAAUAUUGGACAAUGGGCGGAAGCCUGAUCCAGCCAUGCCGCGUGUGUGAAGAAGGCCUUUUGGUUGUAAAGCACUUUAAGCGAGGAGGAGGCUACCUGGAUUAAUACUCUAGGAUAGUGGACGUUACUCGCAGAAUAAGCACCGGCUAACUCUGUGCCAGCCGCCGCCGUAAGAC
rnacentral:rRNA from 1 species